rnacentral:lncRNA from 1 species
CUACGCUAUGAUGCAACAAGGAAAUGAAGUGAUAAACUUACCACGAAUCCACAAGGUCUCUUACCACGAAUCCACAAGGUCUUCACUGGAUUUGGUUAGAACGCACUAUUAACAAACAUAGUAGCUAGAAUGCCUAGAAUAUGUUGCCUUGAACAUAGAGAGGUGUCAAAUAUAAACCCUCUAAACCCCUUGUAUUAGCUUAUAUUUCUUCUUAAUAAUAAAUGUUCUCAUCUAUUUAUAGAAGCACUUAUAUUUCUUUUUAAUAAUAAAUGUUCUCAUCU